rnacentral:lncRNA from 1 species
UGUGGCAACCACUUGGCUGAUUGUUUUUCACAAUAUCUUUUCAUAUCCUUCACAGGAUUUCCCUCUCUCUAACAAGGCACUGCCACUAAUCUUCUCCGUAUAAUCAUAUAGUAGUGUCUUUUCCUUCCAAGAACACCAUUUUGCAAUGUGAUUUCACUGCUCAAAUCACUGUGAAUAGUCCAUCUUCACCAAGGACUAACUCCUGGGUCCUUUGAGGCCCUUCAUGAGAUGAUUUAUUGCCCUGCUGCAGGGAACCUCUGCUCUCCUCAUGCAUGGUUCUGUCAAGUCAAUUUAGCUAGAAACCCCUUAUCCUUGAUGUUUCUGAGAAGAGAAAAUAUCACCUGGUGGCCAUCAAGCAGACCCUCUGAGGCGAGACCCCUUAUCUGAAGAAUUCAGAGGAUCCCACUGCAGUGGUGCCUACAUUUAUCGUCAUGGCUCCUCUUGAAUAAAAU